rnacentral:rRNA from 1 species
AGAGUUUGAUCAUGGCUCAGAACGAACGCUGGCGGCGUGGAUUAGGCAUGCAAGUCGAACGGGAUCCUUGGGAUUCAAUUCUUCGGAAAAGAAACCCUUGGUGAGAGUGGCGAAAGGGUGAGUAUCGCGUGGGCAAUUUGCCCUUAAGUUGGGGAUAGCUUCUCGAAAGGGAAGGUAAUACCGAAUGUGGUCGUCCAACGCAUGUUGGACUAUCUAAAGGUGGGGAUCCUUCGGGACCUGCCGCUUGAGGAUGAGCCCGCGUCCCAUCAGCUUGUUGGUAGGGUAACGGCUUACCAAGGCUUACGGGUAGCUGGUCUGAGAGGAUGGUCAGCCACACUGGGACUGAGACACUGCCCAGACUCCUACGGGAGGCUGCAGUCGAGAAUCAUUCGCAAUGCGCGAAAGCGUGACGAUGCGACGCCGCGUGUAGGAUGACGGCCUUCGGGUUGUAAACUACUGUCAUGGGGGAACAACCGCCUGUGUGUUAACACCACAUGGGUCUGAUAGUACCCCAAGAGGAAGCCACGGCUAACUCUGUGCCAGCAGCCGCGGUAAUACAGAGGUGGCAAGCGUUGUUCGGAUUUACUGGGCGUAAAGGGUGCGUAGGCGGUUCCGUAUGUCGGAUGUGAAAUCUCACUUUUCAUGGGUGAAACUGCAUUCGAAACUGCGGGGCUAGAGUACGGGAGAGGUGAGCAGAAUUCUUGGUGUAGCGGUGAAAUGCGUAGAUAUCAAGAGGAACGCCGGUGGCGAAGACGGCUCACUGGAACGAUACUGACGCUGAGGCACGAAAGCUGGGGGAGCAAACAGGAUUAGAUACCCUGGUAGUCCCAGCCGUAAACGGUGUGCACUUGGUGUAGGUCGGUUUGUCCCGAUCUGUGCCGGAGCUAACGCGUUAAGUGCACCGCCUGGGGAGUACGGUCGCAAGGCUAAAACUCAAAGGAAUUGACGGGGGCCCGCACAAGCGGUGGGGCAUGUGGCUUAAUUCGAUGCAACGCGAAGAACCUUACCUGGGCUUGACAUGGUACUGCUGUCCCCGUGAAAGCGGGGAGUCCUUCGAGGGUGUACCACAGGUGCUGCAUGGCUGUCGUCAGCUCGUGCCGUGAGGUGUUGGGUUAAGUCCCGCAACGAGCGCAACCCUUGUGGUUAGUUGCUAGUGUUUCAGAGAUGAAACAAGCACUCUAGCCAGACUGCCUGUGAUAAGCAGGAGGAAGGUGGGGAU